AACCUUGCCCUUCCGCUGUCUGCUCGCGCGGUAGUUGCUGACGGGGGGUAGAUGUUUUUGCAGCGUAGCAGCGCGUUCAUCACGGGCCGCUUUUCUUGCCGCUUUCUGCACAUCGCGUUGGGGGAACGGGGGCACCCGUUGGAAAUCGUUCGUCGCAAUGUUUGUCGUCGUAAAGCUGCUUCUCGAUCCUUGGGAAACUGUUAAUCGUUGCAAGCUGACGGGCGUGGUCAGCGCGGGCAAUAGCGUCACGUGCUUGUUCCAUGGUUGAUUCUGCAGCUGUCGGAAGGAAGGUAUCCAAUGAGGAUCUGGGGAAUGGGGUGUCCAAAGAAAAGGUGAAGCGGUGGGUAUCCAGCAGUGUCGUGCCGGGAGGAGUUGUACGCGAACGUCACGUAUGACAGUGCAAGGUCCCAGUCACGACUGUCGGCCGUCAUAUUUCAAAAGCAUGUCCGUCAAGGUCUGGUUUAAGCGCUCUGUAAGCCCGUUUGGGGGUAUUACGAAGUGGUGAGCUUAUGCUGGGUCAAGCAGGAACGCAGGAUAUUGUCAAUCACUUGAGAAAGGAAGGAAGGCCUCGGUCUGUCAGCAAUUGCUGUGGGGUACUGUGCACUAAAAUAUUAUCCCGAAGUAAAAAAUAAUCGACGUCUAUAGCGCAGCUGGUUGGCAGGACUCGUGUGAUUGCGUAGCGGGUCGCGUAAUCGGUAGCAACGGCAACCCACUUGUUUCCUGAAGCGGAUGUUGGAAAGGAACCGAGAAGGUCGAAACAGACUCGAAAGAAGGGCUGCGAUGGGAUGUCAAUAGGCUGAUGAUACCCGGCAGGAAGUUCUGGCGGCUUCUUGCGGCGCUGACAACUUCGCAGGCGUUGACAUAACGCCGCACAGAGCGUGCAAGGCCAGUCCAGUAGAAGCGGCAGCGCACACGGUCAUAUGUGCGAGAAAUGCCAAGGUGACCAGCGGUUGAGGCGUCAUGAAGCUCGCGGAGGGCUGUGGAGCGCAGAUGCUUUGGUACGACCACCAGUAGAUCGGGACCGGCGUGUGACGAAUUACGCUGAUAUAAGGUGUUAUCUUUCAAGGCAAACAUGCGUGUGGGGAGGAUUUCAUCCGUUGUAUUAUUCGACUUUUAUGCGGAUCCCGACGCUGCUCGCCGUCGUGGCGAAACAAGUGGGAGAGGAAAAAUAUGCAAUCGAUGGAUUCAGUGCUCGUAGAGUCCCAGUCGGCCACAGGGUAGCGUGAUAGCAAUCAACAUCUUUGUAUAGUCUACCAGUACUGUACACUACCGUGUAGGUAUACUCUUGCAAGCGGAGUGCCCAGAAAGCGAGACGACCUGUGGGAUCUUUCAAAGAGGCGAGCAAACAAAGGGCAUUGUGGUCGGUGAUUACUGUAAACGGUCAUAUGGUAGAAUUACCGCAAAUACCACGUCGAGUCCGUCUCCGACCAUGUCCGCCUCCCGUCUUCUCUCGUCGUGGUAUUUGCGCUAAUUCUUCCAUAAGAAUGAACGAACUCGCCCAACAAGUCACUCUACUGUAAACGGUCAGCCGUAUAAAAGCGAAAUUUCGCAACUGCCCACACCAGAGCGAGGCGUUCGCGCUCCGUGAUUGAAUAAUUCGCUCCGAGGUGGACAGCAGCCUGCUGGCAUAGGCUAUUACGCCAUUACGUCCACGUUGUCGCUGGCCCUACACAGCGCCUAUUCCGUAACCACUGGCGUCAGUGCAGACUUCGGUUGGCGCUGAAGGGUGGGCCAGAACAAGGGAAGAUGUGAGCAGUGCGACGAGCUUGGAGAAAGCUCUUGCUUGCGAGGGACCCUAGUUAAAGGUCACGUCUUGUUUUAGAAGGUAAGUGAGAGGUUUAGCAAUUUCGGCAAAGUCUUUGACAAACCGGCGGAAGUGCCCCACAAAGCUGCGAACAUCUUUGGCGGUUGUCGGCACAGGGAAGUCCUUCACGGCUGAAAUUUUUUCCGGACCAGGCUGUACGCCGGAAGCAUGCCCAAAAAUCGUAAUGCGGCGGCGGCCGAACUGGCACUUGGACAAAUUCAGCAGAAGUGCGGCGAGACGGAACACUUCAAGAAUGGCUGAGUCUCUCCAGGUGAGUUUCAAACCUGGGCGAACGCACAAUUACGUCGUCUAAAUAACAUAGACACGUAGACCACUUGAAUCCGUGAAGCAGGGAGUCCAUCGUUCGUUCGAAUGUGGCUGGGCCAUUACUUAUGCCGAAGGGCAUGACCUUGAGCUGGUAGAGGCCAUCAGGUGUUACAGCGGCCGUCUUCUAUCGGUCCACGGGGUCCACAGCGGUCUGCCAAUAUCCGUAACGAAGGUCAAUGGAAGAGAAGUAUGCGGCACAUGCAGACAAUCAAUGGCGUCACCGAUUCGCGGUAGUCUUUCCUUGGGCUGUUGUUGAGGUGGUGAUAGUCCACACAAAAUCGCCGUGAUCCGUCCUUCUUUUUAACUAAGACUACCGAAGACGCCCAGGGACUGGAGGACGGCUCUAUAAUGUCAUUCGCUAGCAUCUUGUUUACUUCCUGUCGGAUGACGCUCCGUUCAGACGCAGACGCUCUCUAGGAGUGGCGGUGAACAGGCUUGGCAUCAUGUAGGCGCCUUUAGGUACGCCGGCAGAAUUCUCUGUUUUAUAUUAAAGAGCCUUCUCUCUCUCUCUCUCACCUGUGUGUAUGCGAUGCUGGACAACGGACGCCUGCCCUAAAGGUCGGUCACCGAAACCAAAAACGUCCUGGCAGGACCCGAGAAAGCGCUGGAGGGCUUCAACGUGUUCAGGCGGAAGGUGAGAGGCGAUCAUGUUUAAAAUUUGACGGAUGCCACAAUUUGUUAUCGGUGGUGGGUGCUGCGUAGGAACGGCAUCGAGGGGGAAAGCUUCGGCCUGUGAAUCUAGCGGCGAACGAAGGUGGGCUACGGAAAUACCUUACGAGCACUUGAUUUGUGAAACCGAAAUUUAAAACUGGUAGCCAGGUUCUAUUACCCGCGAUACUGAAAACCGUAUAGGGAACAGCAACACAUUGCGUGAGCAGCAAGUCGGUAAGAGGCGCAGCGUAGUAGUCGCCGUCUGGCACAGCUGAUGAGCAUAACAUAGCGACUACGUCACAGUUUUCGGGGUAGAUGAAUUAAGUCGCUUCAGUGUAAUCGGCACGAAGGUUAGUACAGGGGGUCACCGAAUUAUGGCAGUUCAUGACGGAGCACACCGACGGAGCAAUCAACAAGCGCAGUAUUGGCAGCCAGAAAAUCCAGUACAAGUAUGACGCCGUGGGGGCAUAUGGCAAGAAUAGUAAAAAUUCGAGGAGGGACGAAGCAUGUAGGAAAGGGUGUUUCAGCUCCGCUAACGUGAAACCUGUAGAGGGGCGAAGCAUACAGUGUGCGCCGGUGUUUCUCACAAGAAAAUCACUCCUAAUGGGCAAUCAGAGAAAGAAAAGAGCUUAGACAAAGAGACCCGCAGUCCGCUUUUAGUUAACGUGCACGCUGCGAAUCUUUAUUGUUCAACUACGCACAAGAGAAACCUCCCACCGGCACUACAUUGCAGGUCAAGAUCCAGUGCCUAUACAUAUGCGGUGGCCGGUGAACGGUUGUGCACCGCGAGCAGUUGGUUUUUUCAAUCAAGAAACUCGCUAGCAGACGCUGGCUGCGUCGGCGUUGUCUCUCGCGGGCGUGGACGCGUUAUCGUUCCUUGCGAGCUGGUAGCAGAGUUCAUCGCAGAAAAUGCGUUUGCGAAGUAAACGCGCGCCGUUCUCUCUCUUUUGCCACACGGUGAGCGCUGAGGCGGUGGCGCCCUCUCUUGCGCUCCUGCAUAUAGACAAUUUGGUAAUUCAU
rnacentral:lncRNA from 1 species